AGACUACACCAGGUUUAACAUGCUAAGAUGCUGAGAUGCAACCCUAUAAGGCCCUGACGAACUCUGUUAUCAAUCAGUCACAGAGUGUAGCAAUCAUUAGUCUGAGAAAAAGAUGCACACAAUGCUGCCAUUCAGUGUGAAAAAUGCUUCUGAAUGUCAUAACAACUCUUUACAUCUUCUAUUCAUCACACUUUUGUUUGCUUGCUGUCCCUGUCUUUCUUACAUCAACAGAACCAAUUACAUUACAUUGUCCCGGUCACGACAUGUCUGCAGCCCUCAAGUACGACUCGCCUACCGAGUCUCGCCCCAGAAAAGGCACGUUUAAAGUCAAUGCAAACACAAUCAAUCAAAAUCAUCAAAACAAAAGGACUAAAAUGCAUUGAUCCAUAUCAUUCUGCCGUCUCCAAAGCCACCUAAAGUAAUUGUGCCUUAGGACAGAACUGCUCAAGUCAAUUAAUGUUAUGACUCAGCUGAUGGCUGGCCCAGUUAAACAAUGAUUGGUGGCUGCCAUUAGGCACUCACAAAUGCUGUUUGCUUUCUACUUUGAUGCACAUGUGAAAGGGAUGAGUGAUGACGUUCGUUGGCAGUAGAUAUGAACUAAUAAACAGCGACAGGGAGGAGAGAGAUCUGCGUGAUCUGCAGUAGGAAGUGAUUUAUCCCGGUCAGUGUCGGAGUGGAGCCGGAGCCUGUUCCUAGAACACUGCAUGUAAAGCAGGAAAACAUCCACCACAGGGCACCAUUCACUUGUUCAUGCACUCAUUUAUACCUCAGGGCAAUGCAGCACCACUUACCGAGGUCGCAGGAAGUGAUGCAAUACAAUAGGCAGAUCCAUGUUAUAGCCUUACAUCAUGGCACGUGGCAUCACACGGCAUCAGAGUACACACACAAGUCCUGGGUUGUAUGUGACCGCAUGUGAGAGACGUUUCAUAAAGAGAAGAAAAAUGAAGACGGGAUUCUGCCUUAAUAGUGAAUUUGUAUUAAUGCCCACAUGUGUUAGACAUUCCAUAUUUCAUAUGGAGUCCACUUGUUCCAUCAAUUUCCAGGCGAAGCACACAAAAUGGGAUCUGAAAUUCAAUCUGGUCCAUUUUAUACACUUGGGAGAAGGUACACAUUAAAAUUAUUGUUUUUUGGGCACAAUAAAUACACGUAUUAAUUCUCAACAUAUUCUAAGCCUGAUAACAGACUGAAAACAUGUUAUGUAAAUGAAGAAAACCUUUCUGAGGAAGCAUUUAGUCAAUGUUUUUUUUUCAGUACAUUUUCCACCAUUGGGAAGCUUCUAAGUUUAUAUGUACCAUUAUAUAUUCUUUUUUCACCUUGUUAAGAUAAAAAGAAACACAUGAAACCCUCUUUAGAGCUGUUAUAACAUACAGUAAGUAAGUUGUAAAUAAGUUUCACUAACGUUGCACCAUGUUAAACAUACUGUAACUAUAAACAGAUAGAAACUAUUACAUCUUCUU